rnacentral:rRNA from 1 species
CACGUUGGAUAACCUACCUGUAANCACUGGGAUAACUUCGGGAAACCGGAACUAAUACCGGAUAAUUUAUUGNACCGCAUGGUUCAAUAGUUGAAAGACGGUUUUGCUGUCACUUAUAGAUGGAUCCGCGCCGNAUUANCUNGUUGGNAAGGUAACGGAUUACCAACGCAACGAUGCGUACCCGACCUGACAGGGUGAUCGGCCCCACUGGAACUGACACACGGUCCAGACUCCUACGGGAGGCAGCACUAGGGAAUCUUCCGCAAUGGGCGAAAGCCUGACGGAGCAACGCCGCNUGAGUGAUGAAGGUCUUCNGAUCGUAAAACUCUGUUAUNAGGGAAGAACAUAUGUGUAAGUAACUGUGCACGUCUUGACGGUACCUNAUCAGAAAGCCACGGCUAACUACGUGCCAGCAGCCNCGGUAAUACGUAGGUGGCAAGCGUUAUCCGGAAUUAUUGGGCGUAAAGCGCGCGUAUGCGGUUUUUUAAGUCUGAUGUGAAAGCCCACGGCUCAACCGUGGAGGGUCAUUGGAAACUGGAAAACUUGAGUGCAGAAGAGGAAAGUGGAAUUCCAUGUGUAGCGGUNAANUGCACAUAGAUAUGGAGGAACACCAUUGGCA